AUGUUAAUAUGCAGGAUUAUGGCAACGAAUCGCUUGGGAAACCUUUGUGUUUGGAACUACAAUACAAUGGCACCGUUGAGCGCAAUUGGAGACAUCACAGAUGAACCAGUUCAUAUGGCAAAAUAUAUCGCACGGGAAAAGUGGCUCGUGGCGGGUGAUAGCAACGGGGGCAUCCACGUGUACAACUACGACAAGAACCAACACGUCAAGAGCUUCGAGGCUCAUGAAAGUUGCAUCACAACUUUGGCCGUCCAUCGGGCACGUCCUUUUAUCUUGUCUUCGUCUUCUGAGGACAAUGAUCACCUGAUCAAGCUUUGGGAUUGGGACAAAGAGUGGAAAUGCACUCGAACAUUUCAGGGCCACACUGAGAGGGUAACACAAGCAACGUUUAACCCACAAGACAACGACAGUUUCGCUAGCGCUUCUUGGGAUGGCACGGUCAAGAUAUGGAGUAUUUGUUCUGAUGACGCCAACAUCAUCACACUGAAAUUGGAUGGGAAUGUAACCGAAGGCCUGCUUUGUGUUCAUUAUUUCACCCGUUUUAAUAGACAACAUCUGAUCGUGGGUUGUGAGGACAAGACAACACAGAUAUGGGAAUUGGGGAUGAAAGAAUGUGUUCAUAAGCUAAAAGGGAAUACAGACCGUAUUAGUGCCGCCAAAUUGCACCAAGUGCUUGCGCUUUUAAUCACAGGUUCACUUGACGGAACCGUAAACUUGUGGAACUCCAUUACCUAUAAGCUUGAGAACGUGAUUGAUUUCAACCUUGGUGCAGUUUAUGCUCUCGGAUGUAUAGAAGACUCGAGAAGGAUCAUGGUCGGAUGUCACCAAGGAAUAGCAAUAAUGGAUAUUUGGCACCAAUACAAGACAAACGGGAAAGGUAGAAAAUAUUGA
rnacentral:rRNA from 1 species